rnacentral:rRNA from 1 species
CCUACGGGAGGCAGCAGUGAGGAAUAUUGGUCAAUGGCCGGGAGGCUGAACCAGCCAAGUCGCGUGAGGGAAGACGGCCCUACGGGUUGUAAACCUCUUUUGUCAGGGAGCAAGGUGCAGGUCGGGACCUGCUGUGAGAGUACCUGAAGAAAAAGCACCGGCUAACUCCGUGCCAGCAGCCGCGGUAAUACGGGGGAUGCGAGCGUUAUCCGGAUUUAAUGGGUUAAAGGGGUGCGCAGGCGGAGGCACAAGUCAGCGGUAAAAUCGCGGGGCUCAACCCGGCUCCGCCGUUGAAACUGUGGCCCUUGAGUGCGCGAAGGGUAGGCGGAAUGCGUAGUGUAGCGGUGAAAUGCAUAGAUAUCACGCAGAACUCCGAUCGCGAAGGCAGCCUACCGGCGCGCAACUGACGCUCAUGCACGAAAGCGUGGGUAUCGAACAGGAUUAGAUACCCUUGUAGUC